GGUAGGUUAUAAACUAUGAUUCAUAGAUUCUACACUCAACACAGCACUGUGCCAGAGAACUGAAGUCAUUGAAGUCCAUACCUCAUGGAGGCUGUCUCCAGCGGUCCACACCGAGCCUCAGGAUUCCUGUGAGUCCAGAGAUCAUCUUUAAAAAGAAGACUAUCUUCCCUGUUGACGUUCCAAUGGGGUGUAUAUUCCAAACCUUCCCCGGCGAACACGUUAGAGGUCUUCAUCCUCUUCUGUUUCUGUCUCGUCAUCGGUGCAGCGAUAGGAGGUCUUCUACACGUCUGGAUGGUCUACAGUCUGAACUACCAGCCCUUUACCUCGAUGGUGGUGUCCAGUACCUGGGGCUGUAUAGUAGUCCUGCUGUUGCUCCUCCUCCACCCCGUCCGCUGUGUCCUCUCUAUGUCAGUGCCCUCCC